rnacentral:rRNA from 1 species
ACGAACGCUGGCGGCGUGCCUAAUACAUGCAAGUAGAACGCUGAAGAGAGGAGCUUGCUCUUCUUGGAUGAGUUGCGAACGGGUGAGUAACGCGUAGGUAACCUGCCUUGUAGCGGGGGAUAACUAUUGGAAACGAUAGCUAAUACCGCAUAACAAUGGAUGACACAUGUCAUUUAUUUGAAAGGGGCAAUUGCUCCACUACAAGAUGGACCUGCGUUGUAUUAGCUAGUAGGUGAGGUAAUGGCUCACCUAGGCGACGAUACAUAGCCGACCUGAGAGGGUGAUCGGCCACACUGGGACUGAGACACGGCCCAGACUCCUACGGGAGGCAGCAGUAGGGAAUCUUCGGCAAUGGGGGCAACCCUGACCGAGCAACGCCGCGUGAGUGAAGAAGGUUUUCGGAUCGUAAAGCUCUGUUGUAAGUCAAGAACGGGUGUGAGAGUGGAAAGUUCACACUGUGACGGUAGCUUACCAGAAAGGGACGGCUAACUACGUGCCAGCAGCCGCGGUAAUACGUAGGUCCCGAGCGUUGUCCGGAUUUAUUGGGCGUAAAGCGAGCGCAGGCGGUUUGAUAAGUCUGAAGUUAAAGGCUGUGGCUCAACCAUAGUUCGCUUUGGAAACUGUCAAACUUGAGUGCAGAAGGGGAGAGUGGAAUUCCAUGUGUAGCGGUGAAAUGCGUAGAUAUAUGGAGGAACACCGGUGGCGAAAGCGGCUCUCUGGUCUGUAACUGACGCUGAGGCUCGAAAGCGUGGGGAGCGAACAGGAUUAGAUACCCUGGUAGUCCAUGCCGUAAACGAUGAGUGCUAAGUGUUGGGAGGUUUCCGCCUCUCAGUGCUGCAGCUAACGCAUUAAGCACUCCGCCUGGGGAGUACGACCGCAAGGUUGAAACUCAAAGGAAUUGACGGGGGCCCGCACAAGCGGUGGAGCAUGUGGUUUAAUUCGAAGCAACGCGAAGAACCUUACCAGGUCUUGACAUCCCGAUGCUAUUUCUAGAGAUAGAAAGUUACUUCGGUACAUCGGUGACAGGUGGUGCAUGGUUGUCGUCAGCUCGUGUCGUGAGAUGUUGGGUUAAGUCCCGCAACGAGCGCAACCCCUAUUGUUAGUUGCCAUCAUUCAGUUGGGCACUCUAGCGAGACUGCCGGUAAUAAACCGGAGGAAGGUGGGGAUGACGUCAAAUCAUCAUGCCCCUUAUGACCUGGGCUACACACGUGCUACAAUGGUUGGUACAACGAGUUGCGAGUCGGUGACGGCGAGCUAAUCUCUUAAAGCCAAUCUCAGUUCGGAUUGUAGGCUGCAACUCGCCUACAUGAAGUCGGAAUCGCUAGUAAUCGCGGAUCAGCACGCCGCGGUGAAUACGUUCCCGGGCCUUGUACACACCGCCCGUCACACCACGAGAGUUUGUAACACCCGAAGUCGGUGAGGUAACCUUUUGGAGCCAGCCGCCUAAGGUGGGACAGAUGAUUGGGGUG